CAGGCGUCGAGCGGCGGACGGGUGAGUAACACUUAGGAAUCUACCUAGUAGUGGGGGAUAGCUCGGGGAAACUCGAAUUAAUACCGCAUACGACCUACGGGAGAAAGGGGGCAGUUUACUGCUCUCGCUAUUAGAUGAGCCUAAGUCGGAUUAGCUAGAUGGUGGGGUAAAGGCCUACCAUGGCGACGAUCUGUAGCUGGUCUGAGAGGAUGAUCAGCCACACCGGGACUGAGACACGGCCCGGACUCCUACGGGAGGCAGCAGUGGGGAAUAUUGGACAAUGGGGGCAACCCUGAUCCAGCCAUGCCGCGUGUGUGAAGAAGGCCUUUUGGUUGUAAAGCACUUUAAGCAGUGAAGAAGACCUAAUGAUUAAUACCCAUUAGCGAUGACAUUAGCUGCAGAAUAAGCACCGGCUAACUCUGUGCCAGCAGCCGCGGUAAUACAGAGGGUGCAAGCGUUAAUCGGAAUUACUGGGCGUAAAGCGAGCGUAGGUGGCUUGAUAAGUCAGAUGUGAAAUCCCCGGGCUUAACCUGGGAACUGCAUCUGAUACUGUUAAGCUAGAGUAGGUGAGAGGGAAGUAGAAUUUCAGGUGUAGCGGUGAAAUGCGUAGAGAUCUGAAGGAAUACCGAUGGCGAAGGCAGCUUCCUGGCAUCAUACUGACACUGAGGCUCGAAAGCGUGGGUAGCAAACAGGAUUAGAUACCCUGGUAGUCCAC
rnacentral:rRNA from 1 species